rnacentral:rRNA from 1 species
CACGGAGUUAGCCGGUGCUUCUUCUGCGGGUAACGUCAAUUGCUGUGGUUAUUAACCACAACACCUUCCUCCCCGCUGAAAGUACUUUACAACCCGAAGGCCUUCUUCAUACACGCGGCAUGGCUGCAUCAGGCUUGCGCCCAUUGUGCAAUAUUCCCC